CCUACGGGUGGCUGCAGUGGGGAAUAUUGGACAAUGGGCGAAAGCCUGAUCCAGCCAUGCCGCGUGUGUGAAGAAGGCCUUCGGGUUGUAAAGCACUUUCAGUGGGGAAGAAAGCCUUGGGGCUAAUACCCUCGAGGAAGGACAUCACCCACAGAAGAAGCACCGGCUAACUCCGUGCCAGCAGCCGCGGUAAUACGGAGGGUGCGAGCGUUAAUCGGAAUUACUGGGCGUAAAGCGCGCGUAGGCGGUCUGAUAAGCCGGUUGUGAAAGCCCCGGGCUCAACCUGGGAACGGCAUCCGGAACUGUCAGGCUAGAGUGCAGGAGAGGAAGGUAGAAUUCCCGGUGUAGCGGUGAAAUGCGUAGAGAUCGGGAGGAAUACCAGUGGCGAAGGCGGCCUUCUGGACUGACACUGACGCUGAGGUGCGAAAGCGUGGGUAGCAAACAGGAUUAGAUACCCUGGUGGU
rnacentral:rRNA from 1 species